rnacentral:rRNA from 1 species
GACGAACGCUGGCGGCGUGCUUAACACAUGCAAGUCGAACGGAAAGGCCCUGCUUUUGUGGGGUGCUCGAGUGGCGAACGGGUGAGUAACACGUGAGUAACCUGCCCUUGACUUUGGGAUAACUUCAGGAAACUGGGGCUAAUACCGGAUAGGAGCUCCUGCUGCAUGGUGGGGGUUGGAAAGUUUCGGCGGUUGGGGAUGGACUCGCGGCUUAUCAGCUUGUUGGUGGGGUAGUGGCUUACCAAGGCUUUGACGGGUAGCCGGCCUGAGAGGGUGACCGGCCACAUUGGGACUGAGAUACGGCCCAGACUCCUACGGGAGGCAGCGGUGGGGAAUAGUGCACAAUGGGCGGAAGCCUGAUGCAACAACGCCACGUGCGGGAUGACGGCAUUCGGGUUGUAAACCGAUUUCGCCUGUGACGAGGCGUGAGUGACGGUAAUGGGUAAAGAAGCACCGGCUAACUACGUG